CAAAGAUCGAUAUUUGGUGGAACUGCCGUCCCGUUUACACUAUUCAGGCUCAGAGAUGAGUUGGAUAUUUUGAAAGACAAAAUAUCAAAUAACAUUGCUGUGUUGAAAAUGAAUAGGCCCUAGCUUGCCAUGGAAAUUUUAACCUAAAAAUCAUUUUAUUCACCAACAUGUCUGUGGCAUAACUAGCUGGGGAACCAGUCAAUUCGAGUAGAUGCCACUUCGAGCAGAUGCUAGUUCAAGCGGAAAAAAGAUUCACUUGCGCGAACAACAGCCUGUGUACCCAACUUCAGCUGAGUAUUCAAGUAUAGUGGAGCAACUACUUACAAAUAUCAACAAAUAUCAUCCGAUACCUCAAAUCAGAAAG